UUUUGCAACAACGUCGUAAAAUUAAUGCAAUAUGGCCGAAAUGGCUUCUUAAUUUUUCUUGCUUAAUGGAUGAAGUCACACUGCAUUGCCACGAGUCUCAAUGUGGCUCGAGACUCCUAUUUGACCCGAAGGUGGAGGUGGAUUUUGCGGCCAGAGCAGCCUGAAAGAAAGUGAAAAUAACGACGCUGAACGUGACAUCGGAGCAGCGAGGGAAUGCUGCGUAGCUGACAUUCCGAGCAGCCUGAGAGGAGGAGGAGGCCUAGGAUAGGCAUCGGGCAUCAACGUACCAACACUUCUGAAAAUAUCCACGCUGGAAGGACCAUCAGCUUCGCAUCGAGGGAACACGAUGGACAUCUCGAGCAGCCUGAG